GGUGUUGCAUUUUCCCUUCUCCUGGCCGUGGUUAUGGUUAUCCACGAUGGUUUUCUCAGGUCGAGACCUUCAUAUGCCAAAUAGCUUGCAGGGCUGUGAAGGGAAAAGAAGAGCAGAGGUCAAGACUUCUGACUACGAUGCAAUUUCACUGGCUCCCUGCAAAAUAUGAGACUUCAGUCAGCAGUUUUUACAUAUUCAAGUGUGACUUUAAAUCAUAUAUAUAUACAUAUAUGUAUAUAUAUAUAUGUUUAGUCAGCAAAGAUAUAUAUAUCUUUGUUGACUAAAGAAAAACACGGAGGUAGAUGAGAAGAGGCCAGCAGCAACCUUCAGCGGCAGCAGCAGAUGUCAACAUGUGAUGUCUGGAACUCCAGCAGCCAUCCUGCAACCAUUUUCUUUUUAUGUUGUUAGAAACACAUAUUGCAAUACUACCAUUUCCUGGCCUUAAGAUCCUUACUUCCUUAAAUAUUCUUAAUUAUUUCUUUGUUAACUCACUUUCUCUGUUCCCUACGGGUACUCUCUCUUUUCAAGUCUACACACUACUGUAAGCUCUGAAAAUACUAAAAUAAAUAAGUCCAAAUAGAA